AAAAAGUCGCGGCGCGGCCUUGACGGGAUUGGAGGCUAGGAAGGUGGGGGGUGCGUGGACGAGGGCAAGGGCGAGGGCGAGGGCGAGAGAAUGAGGGUGAGAGGCGAGACGGACCGUUUCCGCCUCCGCUCUGCCGGCGAGAAAAUAAAAAAGAACGAGAGAAACGAAGAGGAGAGAGAAAGUGGAAAGAGAAAAAGUAAAAGGGUAUUUUGGUCAGUUUGCUGAAAAAGCGGACUGAAUCUGCAAAAACGAGAAAGAUGGCCCGGUUUUGCAAAAGCCCAAAAUAAGUGAAUUUUUUAUGC
rnacentral:lncRNA from 1 species